GACAUUCUUAUCCCAAGUUACAGGCAUUUGAACUGGGGCCUCUGGAUAAGAGAACCAUCAAUCCCAGAGAGAAGAUGAAAAUAAACAAAAGAUCUCUAUUUCAUGGACUUGCUUAAGAAACUCUGGACUGAGGACUGGAGAAGUGGCUCAGUCUCUGGAGUGCUUGCCUGGCAGCAUGUCUGAGUGACUGGGCUUGCUCUCCAGCCCGCCGACGUUGGGAGUGGUGGCACGUGCCUGCUGAGGUGGGGGGCUGGAGGCAGUUAUGCUUUAGCCGCAUUGCCAGUCUCAGUGAAAGGAUGAAGCUGUGAAUGGCCCCACAGUCAUAAGGGCACGUAAACUCUAAGAUGUUUCUCUUCUUAUCACAUACAACUAUCAUACAUUCUUGUUCAGUGUUCAGAUAGGAUGUAUCUGAUUUCUUAUUUAUCUUAUUUCUUUCUCUGUUAUCAAUUUUCUAAGAACUACUGAUGCUCAUCCUCAAGAUUCAAGGAUUGGCACACUAUCUCUCUUAAGUUUCCACACUCAUAAACUUGUUUCUGGGCCACACUCUGCUAUACUCUUUCAAUUUUGGAAAAAAAAUUUAUUUUUUGAGAUUAUAAUAUAAUAACAUUUUUCCCUUUCCUUUCCCUCUCACCAAACUCUCCUGGGUGGGUAGGUGGGUGGGUGUAAAGGUGUGUGUCUAUUCCUGAAUAUAUAAAUAUAGCCUGCUCAUUCUUUUUUUUUUUUUUUUUUGGUUCUUUUUUUCGGAGCUGGGGACCGAACCCAGGGCCUGCGCUUCCUACGCAAGCGCUCUACCACUGAGCUAAAUCCCCAACCCCUAGCCUGCUCAUUCUUAUGUUACUUGUAUGUAUAUGUUUCCAGGGCGUACCAGUUGGUACUGGCUAACUAGCUGGUGUGCUCUUCUCUGCAGAAGACUAUUUCUCCAGCCCUCAGCAUUCCUCAGCUGGUUGUGGUUCUAAGGUUGAAGCCUUAUAAGCUUUCCUUCCAUGCUAAUAUGUCUACUUUUAUUGUCUUUAGUACACCCAUAGGUAAGUAGUUUUCAUUCCGCAUUAAGAAAAUGUCUCUUUACCACAGAGGACAUUAUAGAAACCACAAUUGAUCAACGUACAGAGUUGUGUGGCUCAGUCCCCAUUGAUCUAUCGAUAACUCAACUCCUGCACCCAAGCCUCAGGGAUCAUUGCAGAAGACAAGGUGGAAGGAUUGUAAGAGUCAAAGGACCAAGAUGUUUGCUGAGAGGGUCAACCUCCUAGACAUAUCAGACACUACAUCCUAAAGUCUUACCGACAUGGCUGCCUCCUAAAUGUGUUUAAUCCCUUACAGAUAAUAUUUAACAAACUACAUAUAGAGUUCUGAUGACCCAUACAGCAGGUUCUCUUAUGAAUCCAGACAUUAAUUUAAUGACAAAUGACAAUUAUUACUAUUCUAUAAUUCUCUUAAUUAUGUAGGGCUUCCGUAAUAUAUUUAAAUAUAAUUUUAGAAUUUUCUUUAUGGUAGUCUUACAUGUACUUUAGGCUCAUUUGUAAUAACCCUAUUAGUUGCAUAUCUUUUUAAAAAAAUUUUACUAUCCUAGAAAACAUUGCAUAGAAAUGCAGGAAUUAUCACCAAUUAUCAGACAAUGUGUGUACAGCCUUCCCCAGGUCAAGAAAUAAAAUAUAAAUAGAGGCCGACACAGUCCCCAUCCUUCCUUCCCAAUUUUUUUCACACUUAAUUUAAGAUUCAUACAGUCUGGGGGCUGGAGAAAUGACUCUGAGGUUAAGAGCACUGGCUGCUCUUCUAGAGGGCCAGAGUUCAGUUUGUGGCAACCAUAUGGUGACUCAUAACCAUCGAUUACGAGAUCUUGUGCCCUCUUCUGUCAUGCAGGCAUACAUGCAGGGGAAAUACAUAAUAAAUAAAUAAAUCUUAAAGAAAAAAAGAUUUGUACAAUCUGAAGAGGAAACCAGAGUAUAUAAUACCCAAUUUUAAAUAGAACAAAUUCAUCAGAGAUGUCUGAACUUUGUAUACACUGUUUGAAAAGUUUGUUACAUUUGUUACAUAUAUUUACUUUCUUCUCUGUGCCAUUAAGUAUUUGACACCACUACAAGUUAUUUAUUCUACUAAACAAAUAUUGGCCACAUGGGUGGUUUCUAGUUUGGAACUAUUACAAAUAGGGCUUGAAGAAUAUGUGUGGGGCUAAAGGUAUAUCUCAGUGGUAGAGUGCAUAUUUACGCCUAAUUGAGGCCCUAAAUUCAAAACUCAGCAACACACAGUCAGGAUACUAAUUUACACUCUCACUAGCAGUGGAUGAGUACUUAGUCUGCCCUUGUAACAGCAUAGCACUUUUCAUUUCAGACAUUCUGAGCAUAGAAAGCUACGGCUAUCUUAAUCUGUAUUUCCAGAUUAUCAACAAAGUGAAAAUUUAUAUACAAUUAUUUAGUAUUACAUAAUCUCUUUUAUAGAAUUAUCCAGUUCUUUUGCCAAAUUUCUAUCGCCUUGAGUGUCUUCUCCACACAAUCUGUUCUUUACAUCAGGAUACCUUGUAUAGAAUGCAUAAUUUUCACUUCCACUCUGUGAUUUGCUUAUUUACUGUUCAAAUUUUAUAGAAUUCUUUACUUUAACAUACCUUAUGUAACAAUAGUUCUCUAUAUGGUUGCUGGUUUUACUUUUUGUUUUGUUUUGUAAAGAAAAAUCCAGUUUAAUGAAAUUUUUCCUUUUCUAAGAUUAAAAAGGCACACUCCUCCAUUUUCUUAUAGAAGAUCUAGCUGUCUGUCCAUCUACUUACUAUUAACCUAUGCUUCUAUAUUUUGGUCUGGGGUUUUUGGGAACAGCAUAUUGCUAGAACUAGUGGCUUUCCUGCAAUUUUAAAUAUGUUGCACUUUUAGAAAAUGACUGUCCUCGUAGCAAUGAAUAGCCUAGUAAGGGCACCUGUGGAAGGGGAAGCCCUUGGUCCUGCCAAGACUGAACCCCCAGUGAACGUGAUUGUUGGGGGGAGGGCGGUAAUGGGGGGAGGAUGGGGAGGGGAUAGAAGGGGAGGGGGAGGGGUUAGGGGGAUGUUGGCCCGGAAACCAGGAAAGGGAAUAACAAUCGAAAUGUAAAUAAGAAAUACCCAAGUUAAUAAAGAUGGGGGAAAAAGUAAAAAAAAAAAAAAAAGAAAGAAAGAAAGAAAGAAGGAAAGAAAGAAAAGAAAA